AUUGAACGCUGGCGGCAGGCCUAACACAUGCAAGUCGAACGGUAGCACAGAGAGCUUGCUCUCGGGUGACGAGUGGCGGACGGGUGAGUAACGUCUGGGAAACUGCCCGAUGGAGGGGGAUAACUACUGGAAACGGUAGCUAAUACCGCAUAACGUCGCAAGACCAAAGUGGGGGACCUUCGGGCCUCACACCAUCGGAUGUGCCCAGAUGGGAUUAGCUAGUAGGUGGGGUAAUGGCUCACCUAGGCGACGAUCCCUAGCUGGUCUGAGAGGAUGACCAGCCACACUGGAACGGAGACACGGUCCAGACUCCUACGUGAGGCAGCAGUGGGGAAUAUUGCACAAUGGGCGCAAGCCUGAGGCAGCCAUGCCGCGUGUAUGAAGAAGGCCUUCGGGUUGUAAAGUACUUUCAGCGGGGAGGAAGGCGGUGAAGUUAAUAGCUUCACCGAUUGACGUUACCCGCAGAAGAAGCACCGGCUAACUCCGUGCCAGCAGCCGCAGUAA
rnacentral:rRNA from 1 species